UUACAGAACGAGUAAAGAGACUUGCCGGUAAACGAGAUUGAAAUAGGUAUACGNNNNNNNNNNGACUUAGUGUAAGUUUCGGGAUCUUGUAUUACGGAACGAGUAAAGAGACUUGCCGGUAAACGAGAUUGAAAUAGGUAUGCGGAUACUGACGAUCGAAUCUCGGGCAAGUAACAUACCGAAGGACAAAGGGAAUGACAUGCGGGAUUAUAUGAAUCCUUGGCACCGAGGUUCAAACGAUAAGAUCUUCGUAGAAUAUGUAGGAUCCAAUAUGGNNNNNNNNNNUUGACACUGAGGUUCAAACGAUAAGAUCUUCGCAGAAUAUGUAGGAUCCAAUAUGGGCAUCCAGGUCCCGCUAUUGGAUAUUGACCGAGGAGUCUCUCGGGUCAUGUCUACAUAGUUCUCGAACCCGCAGGGUCUGCACACUUAAGGUUCGACGUUGUUUUAUGUGUAUUUGAGUUAUAUGGUUGGUUGCCGAAUGUUGUUCGGAGUCCCGGAUGAGAUCACGGACGUCACGAGGGUUUCCGGAAUAGUCCGGAAACAAAGAUUGAUAUAUAGGAUGACCUCAUUUGAUUACCGGAAGGUUUUCGGAGUUACCGGGAAUGACGAAUGGGUUCCGGGAGUUCACCGGGGGGGCAACCCACCCCGGGGAAGCCCAUAGGCCAUAAGGGUGGCGCACCAGCCCUUAGUGGGCUGGUGGGACAGCCCAAAAGGUCCCUAUGCGCCAUAGAGAUAAAAAUCAAAGAGAAAGAAAAAAAAAGGGAGGUGGGAAGGAAGGGAAGGACUCCCACCCACCAAACCAAGUCCAACUCGGUUUGGGGGGGGAGCCUUCCCCCCUUGGACUCGGCCGACCCCCUUGGGGCUCCUUGAGCCCCAAGGCAAGGUCCCCUCCCUCCCACCUAUAUAUACGGAGGUAUUGGGGCUGAUUUGAGACGACUUUUCCACGGCAGCCCGACCACAUACCUCCACGGUUUUUCCUCUAGAUCGCGUUUCUGCGGAGCUCGGGCGGAGCCCUGCUGAGACAAGGUCAUCACCAACCUCCGGAGUGCCGUCACGCUGCCGAAAAAACUCUUCUACCUCUCUGUCUCUCUUGCUGGAUCAAGAAGGCCGAGAUCAUCGUCGAGCUGUACGNNNNNNNNNNAGAGCGCCGUCACGCUGCCGAAGAAACUCUUCUACCUCUCCGUCUCUCUUGCUGGAUCAAGAAGGCCGAGAUCAUCGUCGAGUUGUACGUGUGCUGAACGCGGAGGUGCCGUCCGUUCGGUACUAGAUCGUGGGACUGAUCGCGGGAUUAUUCGCGGGGCGAAUCGAGGGACGUGAGGACGUUCCACUACAUCAACCGCGUUCACUAACUCUUCUGCUGUACGAUCUACAAGGGUACGUAGAUCACUCAUCCCCUCUCGUAGAUGGACAUCACCAUGAUAGGUCUUCGUGCGCGUAGGAAAAUUUUUGUUUCCCAUGCGAAGUUUUCCAACAGUGGCAUCAUGAGCUAGGUUCAUGCGUAGAUGUCUUCUCGAGUAGAACACAAAAGUUUUUGUGGGCGGUGAUGUGCGUUUUGCUUCCCUCCUUAGUCUUUUCUUGAUUCCGCGGUAUUGUUGGAUUGAAGCGGCUUGGACCGACAUUACUCGUACGCUUACGAGAGACUGGUUUCAUCGUUACGAGUAACCCCGUUGCUCAAAGAUGACUGGCAAGUGUCGGUUUCUCCAACUUUAGUUGAAUCGGUUUUGACCGAGGAGGUCCUUGGAUGAGGUUAAAUAGCAACUCAUAUAUCUCCGUUGUGGUGUUUGCAUAAGUAAGAUGCGAUCCUACUAGAUACCCAUGGCCACCGCGUAAAACAUGCAACAACAAAAUUAGAGGACGUCUAACUUGUUUUUGCAGGGUAUGCUUGUUAUGUGAUAUGGCCAAUGAUGUGAUGUGAUAUAUUGGAUGUAUGAGAUGAUCAUGUUGUAAUAGAAAUAUCGACUUGCACGUCGAUGGUACGGCAACCGGCAGGAGCCAUAGGGUUGUCUUUAUACUAACAUAUGUGCUUGCAGAUGCGUUUACUAUUUUGCUAGGACGUAGCUUUAGUAGUAAUAGCAUGAGUAGCACGACAACCCCGAUGGCGACACGUUGAUGGAGAUCAUGAUGAUGGAGAUCAUGGUGUGACGCCGGUGACAAGAAGAUCGUGCCGGUGCUUUGGUCAUGGAGAUCAAGAAGCACGUAAUGAUGGCCAUAUCAUGUCACUUAUGAAUUGCAUGUGAUGUUAAUCCUUUUAUGCACCUUAUUUUGCUUAGAACGACGGUAGCAUUAUGAGGUGAUCUCUCACUAAAAUUUCAAGACGAAAUUGUGUUCUCCCCGACUGUGCACCGUUGCGACAGUUCUUCGUUUCGAGACACCACGUGAUGAUCGGGUGUGAUAGACUCAACGUUCACAUACAACGGGUGCAAAACAGUNNNNNNNNNNNNNNNNNNNNNNNNNNNNNNNNNNNNNNNNNNNNNNNNNNNNNNNNNNNNNNNNNNNNNNNNNNNNNNNNNNNNNNNNNNNNNNNNNNNNUUACAUCCCUGCAGGGGUGCACCACAUGUCCGGUCACGCUCGAUAACACUCUGGCCGGACAUACUUUUCUGGGUCCUGCCCGGCCUCGGAAUAUCGACACGUCGCAGCCCCACCUAAGACUAAUCAGAGAGGCCAGCCCGCCGGUCUAAAUCCUAAGCACAAAGGGUUCGUGGGCCCAGUUCCCCUUCACGCUCCUGCACGUGGCGUGGGCGGCCGACGUCAGUCCUAGCAUCCCUUAAUCACAAGCGCGAUGCAUCUCGGGACCACUCGGGCGCGCGCCGCUACAUUACUGGCAUCUGAAAAGCUUCGGCUGAUACCGCGACGCCGAGUACCCAUAAUUCUUCCCGCGUAGCCGGUUAGUGCGAAAAGGUCUCCGGCCAACCCAGAUCAAAUACCCAAAUCCAUUAGCAUUUUAAUUAAGCCAGCAUCACAGUCUCACGGGAAUCCACCCGUCUUACAACUAAUCACCAAUGAUCCCAGUAACAUGGUCGAGUAACUGUGUGGUUGUAACAUCGGGGGAAUCCGAGGUAUCACCCUCGUUGGAUUCCGAACGAUGUACCCGUCAAGGUAGGCUUAGAGGAAUCACCCUCGGGGGUCCCACACUCGCGGGGUGGCAUGACAGAGACGUCAUCGGGAAUGGUGAAAGAGGAAUCACCCUCGAUAACCACGACCGACUAGCUAUACUACAGAGAUAUCAUCAGGAGUACUUAGUGAGGUGUCACCCUCGGUAACCGAUAGUAUCUCUGUAGCGUCGUACAACAAAGGGGGGUGAAUGUGCUGUGUCGGGUCUGGCUCGUCGAUCAGAGAUCGAGAUUUGAAAACAAGCGGGGCAACUGAUCUACGGGGUCAGAGGGGAUGACUGCUCCACCUAUACUAAGCAUAUUAAAGGUACAUGACUGAAAGUAGCAGUUCAUAAAAAAUAGGCUAUGCAUCAGAUAUAGGAGCUAACUACAACAGUAGCAAAAUACUAAUGCAAGCAGUAGGAAGAAAGACAUAGGCGAUAUAGGAAUGAUCAAGUGGAGUUUGCUUGCCUUGCUGCUCUGCGGCAAAGGACUGAUCGGCAGGGUCGUAGAUGUACCCGGCAGCAGCGUCAGUCUCGGGGUCUACCGGUAAGAAGAGGGGGAAGAAACAAUAAAUAAUAGCACCGAUGCAACACAAAGCAUGACAUGGCAAGAUGCAGGCUAGACAUGAGCUAACGCAGCAACACCCGUCAUAGACAGGUCGGAAGAAUAUCUGACGAUAUUUUCCGGGUCUCGGGCUACUACCGGUAAUACUGGAAACGAUGGAAAAUGUUCCAUGUUUGCUAUGCUAGGGACGCGUGACAGACGAAUGGAACGUGUAUUCGGGUUCGUCUCGUUUUGCUGAUCAACUUUCAUGUUGAAANNNNNNNNNNNNNNNNNNNNNNNNNNNNNNNNNNNNNNNNNNNNNNNNNNNNNNNNNNNNNNNNNNNNNNNNNNNNNNNNNNNNNNNNNNNNNNNNNNNNNNNNNNNNNNNNNNNNNNNNNNNNNNNNNNNNNNNNNNNNNNNNNNNNNNNNNNNNNNNNNNNNNNNNNNNNNNNNNNNNNNNNNNNNNNNNNNNNNNNNNNNNNNNUAGGUUUUAUUUAAGAUUAAAUAUUAAUUAAUCAGAUUAAUUUAGUAGGGGACCCACGUGUCAUACUCUAAUUAUUCUAAUUAAUUAAUCUAAUUAACAGAUUAACUUAUAUAUUUAUUUAACUAAUUCAUUAACUCAUUAAUUAAUUAUUAUAUUUAUUUAUUUCUUUAUUUAAUAAAAACAUUAUUUUUAUUUUAACUGUCGCGUGGGGCCUCCCUGUCAUAGGCAGCGGCUUCAUUGGCCCCACCGGUAAGUGACCCGAGGCCAAAAACACAUUUUUAAUCACAAAUAUGUAACCAUACAAAUGUCGUAUCUCUCCACAUGCCUAUAUACGCAAAUACAUACAUAAAUACGGGUAUCAAAUACAUACAUACAUANNNNNNNNNNGGAAUUAAAAACAGAUUUAAAUGAUUUAAUAAAAGGCUAUUAUGACAUCAGCAUGAUGUCAUGCUGACAUCAAUGGUUGACUGGUCAAACUGGCCAGUGGGUCCCCGUCGUCAUAGUCACGGGUUUUAUUUAAGAUUAAAUAUGAAUUAAUCAGAUUAAUUUAGUGGGGGACCCACGUGUCAUACUCUAAUUAUUCUAAUUAAUUAAUAUAAUUAACAGAUUAACUUAUAUAUUUAUUUAACCAAUUCAUUAACUCAUUAAUUAAUUAUUAUAUCUAUUUAUUUAUUUAUUUAAUAAAAACAUUAUUUUUAUUUUAACUGUCGCGUGGGGGGCCUCCCUGUCAUAGACAGCGGGUGCAUUGGCCCCACCGGUAAGUGACCCUAGGCCAAAAACACAUUUUUAAUCACAAAUAUAUAACCAUACAAAUGUCGUAUCUCUCCACAUGCCUACAUACGCAAAUACAUACAUAAAUACGGGUAUCAAAUACAUACAUACAUACAUACGGAAUAUAACAUUUGAUUUUUUUUUUAUUUUCUCUCAAAACUCUCAUCUCCCUCUCUGUGUUAACAACUAUAACACAAAGGUUCUCUGCUAACUCCACAUAGAAGAACCAAAUGUUCGAUCCUUCCUACCGGAGNNNNNNNNNNCAACAUUUGAUUUUUUUUUAUUUUCUCUCAAAACUCUCAUCUCCCUCUCUCUGUUAACAACUAUAACAAAGAGGUUCUGUGCUAACUCCACAUAGAAGAACCAAAUGUUCGAUCCUUCCUACCGGAGUCUACCGUCGAUGGAUCGAGGUCCCGUUUGCCGGAACGGAACCGGGACGGCGAGGAGAACGACAUGGUGGGAGGAGCCCGAGGAGGGGCUCACCGACGUUGACGGGAGGGGCCGGUGAAGCCGGAGUUCGCGGGAAGGGGCGGAGGAGACGGCGUGGAGGCGGACGAGGCGGUGACGGUGACGAUGAUGCCGGUCACCAGAGAGGUCGUGCCGGCGAGGGGGAGCCGGCCGGACCCGGCGAGGCGAAGAAGUCUCCCUGCCCUGUCCCUCCUGGACCGAGCGGGAGGAAGGCCGACGGGGGCGGGGUUGUAGGCCGGCGAGGUGGAGGGCCGAGGUGGCCGGAGCCCCUGCCGGCGGGGUGGAGGCCNNNNNNNNNNNNNNNNNNNNNNNNNNNNNNNNNNNNNNNNNNNNNNNNNNNNNNNNNNNNNNNNNNNNNNNNNNNNNNNNNNNNNNNNNNNNNNNNNNNNUCGGUACUGAGCCGCAAACCGAAAAACCAUAGGCGGCCUCCAGGCCCAUGGCGCCUCCCCUUGAUCGGAAGCCUCCACCACGUCCUCACGUCGCAGCCGCAGGUCGCCCUCCGGGACCUGGCCAAGAAGCACGGCCCGGUCAUGUACCUCCGGUUCGGCCAGAUGGACACCGUCGUCGUCUCCUCGCCGGCCGCGGCGCAGGAGGUGCUCCGGGACAAGGACCUCUCAUUCGCGUCGCGGCCCAACAUCCUGGUCUCAGAGAUCUUCUGCUACGGGGGCCGCAACGUCAUCCUCGCGCCCUACGGCCCCUACUGGCGGAUGACGCGUAAGCUCUGCACGGUUGAGCUCCUGAGCGAACGCAAGGUGCGGCAGUUCGCGCCCUUCAGAGACAGCGAGACCAUGUCCCUUGUCGAGAACAUCCGCGCCGCCGGUCGGGGCUGUUGGCCCAGAACCGACCCCGAGUACUUUCUGGCGACGGCAGCGACCGACGACGAAGCGAAGCGAUCGAUCACCCGCAGUGUACAGCUAUCCAAACUAGCAAUCCAUCCUUUGACCUGUGUACGUUGCCUGAUGGAUGUGGUACACACGUACGAAACAGCUGCUAGCUAGUUACGAGCGGCUUAAUCAACUUCGCCGAGAGCAACACACGACACGGGAUUUUGAUGGCUAUAGGUGCGANNNNNNNNNNNNNNNNNNNNNNNNNNNNNNNNNNNNNNNNNNNNNNNNNNNNNNNNNNNNNNNNNNNNNNNNNNNNNNNNNNNNNNNNNNNNNNNNNNNNUGUUGAUUGGAAUACAGUACAAUUAGAAGACAUUACUGAUUUGGCCAUUGCAUCAAUGGCUGACACUGAGAUGGCCAAUUUUUUGUCAUUCCAGUAGAUGAUCAAGAUAAGGAAGAGAGGGGUCAAUCGAGUUUGCCUAAUGAUGCUAACAUAGAUGCUUGUAGCCCCGGCUAACUCUGUGCCCAACAACUACGGUAAGACGGGAGGGGGGGGGGUGUUCUUCGGAAUGACUACGCGUAAAGGCAUUUAUGCGGUGAAUCAGGUUGAAAGUGAAAGUUGCCAAAAAGUGGCAGAAUUUAAAGUGCUAGUUAUGGAUGAAAGCACAUAUGCUCCCUUGAUGGUUUUUAUAAUUCAUGGUAACAUACAUUGUCUGUUCGACUAAUACUUUUACCUAGUAUAUUUCAGAUAUAGUCCACAGAGAUGACUGGCUAAUGGAUUGUGUGGAGAAGCCCCAAGGAAGGAAAGGAAUAAGAUUGGCCAGCUUCAAGCUACAAGACUCUACAUUUUAUAUUUGUGAGAAAUCACUUUUAGGUCCAUAGGAAAGCCAAUACUAUUAAAANNNNNNNNNNNNNNNNNNNNNNNNNNNNNNNNNNNNNNNNNNNNNNNNNNNNNNNNNNNNNNNNNNNNNNNNNNNNNNNNNNNNNNNNNNNNNNNNNNNNGACCCGAGAGACUCCUCGGUCAAUAUCCAAUAGCGGGACCUGGAUGCCCAUAUUGGAUCCUACAUAUUCUACGAAGAUCUUAUCGUUUGAACCUCAGUGCCAAGGAUUCAUAUAAUCCCGUAUGUCAUUCCCUUUGUCCUUCGGUAUGUUAUUUGCCCGAGAUUCGAUCGUCAGUAUCCGUAUACCUAUUUCAAUCUCGUUUACCGGCAAGUCUCUUUACUCGUUCCGUAAUACAAGAUCCCGCAACUUACACUAAGUUACAUUNGCUUGCAAGGCUUGUGUGUGAUGUUGUAUUACCGAGUGGGCCCCGAGAUACCUCUCCGUCACACGGAGUGACAAAUCCCAGUCUUGAUCCAUACUAACUCAACCAACACCUUCGGAGAUACCUAUAGAGCAUCUUUAUAGUCACCCAGUUACGUUGCGACAUUUGAUACACACAAAGUAUUCCUUCGGUGUCAUUGAGUUAUAUGAUCUCAUGGUCAUAGGAAUAAAUACUUGACACGCAGAAAACAGUGGCAACAAAAUGACACGAUCAACAUGCUACGUCUAUUAGUUUGGGUCUAGUCCAUCACGUGAUUCUCCUAAUGACGUGAUCCAGUUAUCAAGCAACAACACCUUGUUCAUAGUCAGAAGACACUGACUAUCUUUGAUCAACUGGCUAGCCAACUAGAGGCUUGCUAGGGACGGUGUUUUGUCUAUGUAUCCACACAUGUAAAUGGGUCUUCAUUCAAUACAAUUAUAGCAUGGAUAAUAAACGAUUAUCUUGAUACAGGAAUUAUAAUAAUAACUAUAUUUAUUAUUGCCUCUAGGGCAUAAUUCCAACAGUCUCCCACUUGCACUAGAGUCAAUAAUCUAGCCCUCACAUCAUCAUGUGAAUUACAUUGUAAUAAAUCUAACACCCAUACAGUUCUGGUGUUGAUCAUGCUUUGGCCGUGGAAGAGGUUUAGUCAGCGGGUCUGCUACAUUCAGAUCUGUGUGCACUUUGCAUAUGUUUACGUCCUCUCCCUCGACGUAGUCGCGGAUGAGGUUGAAGCGUCGUUUGAUGUGUCUGGUCUUCUUGUGAAACCGUGGUUCCUUUGCUAAGGCAAUGGCACCCGUGUUAUCACAGAACAAGGUUAUUGGAUUCAGUGCGCUUGGCACCACUCCAAGAUCCGUCAUGAACUGCUUCAUCCAGACACCCUCCUUAGCCGCCUCCGAGGCAGCCAUGUACUCCGCUUCACAUGUAGAAUCUGCUACGACGCUUUUCUUGGAACUGCACCAGCUUACCGCACCCCCAUUAAGAAUAAAUACGUAUCCGGUUUGCGACUUAGAGUCGUCCGGAUCUGUGUCAAAGCUUGCAUCGACGUAACCUUUUACGGCGAGCUCUUCGUCACCUCCAUACACGAGAAACAUCUCCUUAGUCCUUUUCAGGUACUUCAGGAUAUUCUUGACCGCUGUCCAGUGAUCCACUCCUGGAUUACUCUGGAACCUACCUGCCAUACUUAUGGCCAGGCUAACAUCCGGUCUAGUGCACAGCAUCACAUACAUGAUAGAACCUAUGGCUGAAGCAUAGGGGACGGAGCGCAUAUGCUCUCUAUCUUCAUCAGUUGCUGGGCACUGAGUCUUACUCAAUCUCGUACCUUGUAGAACUGGCAAGAACCCUUUCUUGGACUGUUCCAUUUUGAACCUCUUCAAAACUUUAUCAAGGUAUGUGCUUUGUGAAAGUCCUAUCAAGCGUUUUGAUCUAUCCCUAUAGAUCUUAAUGCCUAGAAUGUAAGCAGCUUCUCCUAGGUCCUUCAUAGAGAAACUUUUAUUCAAGUAACCUUUUAUGCUCUCCAAAAACUCUACGUUGUUUCAAAUCAGUAAUAUGUCAUCCACAUAUAAUAUUAGAAACGCCAUAGAGCUCCCACUCACUUUCUUGAAAAUACAAGAUUCUCCAACCACUUGUAUAAACCCAAAUGCUUUGAUCACCUCAUCAAAGCGUUUGUUCCAACUCCGAGAUGCUUGCACCAGUCCAUAAAUGGAUCGUUGGAGCUUGCACACCUUGUUAGCAUUCUUAGGAUCGACAAAACCUUCGGGUUGUAUCAUAUACAACUCUUCCUUAAGGAAACCGUUAAGGAACACCGUUUUGACAUCCAUUUGCCAGAUUUCAUAAUCGAAAAAUGCAGCUAUUGCUAACAUGAUUCUGACGGACUUAAGCAUUGCUACGGGUGAGAAAGUCUCAUCGUAGUCAACUCCUUGAACUUGUGAAAAACCCUUUGCCACAAGUCGAGCUUUAUAAACGGUCACAUUGCCGUCAGCGUCCGUCUUCCUCUUAAAGAUCCAUUUGUUCUGAAUGGCCUUGCGGCCCUCAGGUAGUACCUCCAAAGUCCACACUUUGUUCCCAUACAUGGAUCCUAUCUCGGAUUUCAUGGCCUCUAGCCAUUUGUUGGAAUCUGGGCCCACCAUUGCUUCUUCAUAAUUUACAUGUUCAUUGUUGUCUAACAACAUGAUUGACAAAACGGGAUUACCGUACCACUCUGGAGCAGCACGUGGUCUCAUCGACCUGCGUGGUUCGAUAGGAACUUGAACCGGAGUUUCAUGAUCAUCAUCAUUAACUUCCUCCUCAACCGGCGUCGCAACGACAGGGGUUUCCCCUUGCCCUGCGCCACCAUCCAGAGGGAUGAGAGGUUCGACAACCUCAUCAAGUUCUAUCUUCCUCCAACUCAAUUCUCUCGAGAGAAACUCCUUCUCGAGAAAAGCUCCGUUUUUAGCAACAAACACUUUGCCCUCGGAUUUGAGAUAGAAGGUGUACCCAACUGUCUCUUUUGGGUAACCUAUGAAGAUGCACUUUUCCGCUUUGGGUUCCAGCUUUUCAGGCUGAAGCUUUUUGACAUAAGCAUCACAUCCCCAAACUUUAAGAAACGACAACUUUGGCCUUUUGCCAUACCACAUUUCGUAUGGUGUCGUCUCAACGGAUUUUGAUGGUGCCCUAUUUAAAGUGAAUGCAGCUGUGUCUAAUGCAUAACCCCAAAAUGAUAAUGGCAAAUCGGUAAGAGACAUCAUAGAUCGCACCAUCUCUAAUAAAGUACGAUUACGAUGUUCGGACACACCAUUACGCUGUGGUGUUCCAGGCGGUGUCAACUGUGAAACAGUUCCACAUUGUCUUAAGUGAGCACCAAACUCGAAACUCAGAUAUUCACCCCCAUGAUCAGACAGUAGGAACUUGAUCUUCUUGUUACGAUGAUUUUCAACUUCACUCUGAAAUUGCUUGAACUUUUCAAAUGUUUCAGACUUGUGCUUCAUCAAGUAGACAUAACCAUAUCUACUUAAAUCGUCAGUGAAGGUGAGAAAAUAACGAUAUCCGCCGCGUGCCUCCACGCUCAUCGGACCACACACAUCGGUAUGUAUGAUUUCCAACAAGUCACUUGCACGGUCCAUUGUUCCGGAGAACGGAGUCUUAGUCAUCUUGCCCAUGAGGCAUGGUUCGCACGUGUCAAGUGAAUCAAAGUCAAGUGACUCCAAAAGUCCAUCAGCAUGGAGUUUCUUCAUGCGCUUUACACCAAUAUGACCUAAGCGGCAGUGCCACAAAAAUAUGGCGCUAUCAUUGUUAACUCUAACUCUUUUGGUCUCAAUGUUAUGUAUAUGCGUAUCGCUAACAAGAUUCAAUAUGAACAAUCCUCUCACAUUCGGUGCAUGACCAUAAAAGAUGUUACUCAUAGAAAUAGAACAACCAUUAUUCUCUGACUUAAAAGAGUAACCGUCUCGCAAUAAACAAGAUCCAGAUAUAAUGUUCGUGCUCAACGCAGGCACUAAAUAACAAUGAUUUAAGUUCAUCACUAAUCCUGACGGUAACUGAAGUGACACUGUGCCGACGGCGAUUGCAUCAACCUUGGAACCAUUUCCUACGCGCAUCGUCACUUCAUCUUUUGCCAACCUUCGUCUAUUCCACAAUUCCUGUUUCGAGUUGCAAAUAUGAGCAACAGAACCGGUAUCGAAUACCCAGGCACUACUACGAGAGCCGGUUAAGUACACAUCAAUAACAUGUAUAUCAAAUAUACCUGAUUUUUCUUUGGCCGCCUUCUUAUCUGCCAGAUACUUGGGGCAAUUGCGCUUCCAGUGACCCAUACCCUUGCAAUAGUAACACUCCAUUUCAGGCUUAGGUCCAGCUUUGGGUUUCUUCGUCGGAUUGGCAACAGGCUUGCCGCUCUUCUUCGAAUUGCCCUUCUUGCCUUUGCCGUUUCUCUUGAAACUAGUGGUCUUAUUCACCAUCAACACUUGAUGCUCUUUACGGAGUUCAGACUCUGCGACUUUCAGCAUCGCAAACAACUCGCCGGGAGACUUGUUCAUCCCUUGCAUGUUGUAGUUCAACACAAAGCCUUUAUAGCUUGGCGGCAAUGAUUGAAGGAUUCUGUUAGUGAUAGCUUCUUGCGGGAGUUCAAUCCCCAGCUCAGCUAGACGGUUUGAGUACCCAGACAUUUUGAGCACAUGUUCACUGACAGAUGAGUUUUCCUCCAUCUUGCAAGCAUAGAAUUUAUCGGAGGUCUCAUACCUCUCGAUCCGGGCGUUCUUCUGAAAGAUAAACUUCAACUCCUGGAACAUCUCAAAUGCUCCAUGACGCUCAAAGCGACGUUGAAGUCCCGGUUCUAAGCCAUACAAGACUGCACAUUGAACUAUUGAGUAGUCCUCCUUAUGUGCUAACCAAGCGUUCUUAACAUCCUGAUCAGCCGUAGCGGGUGGUUCAUCUCCUAACGCAGCAUUAAGGACAUAAUCCUUCUUCCCAGCUUGUAAGAUUAGCUUAAGAUUACGAGCCCAGUCUACANNNNNNNNNNNNNNNNNNNNNNNNNNNNNNNNNNNNNNNNNNNNNNNNNNNNNNNNNNNNNNNNNNNNNNNNNNNNNNNNNNNNNNNNNNNNNNNNNNNNUGAGAAUUCUUCCCUGCCUGGGUGUGCCCUUAAUGAAUUCAUCCGUUGGCGGCUAUAGCGAGAUCUGGGUCAGAGUCUAUCUCCCCAUCCCUCCGGCGAGGUAGCAAUGAGCUAUCAAACGCCAAUAGAGGACAGAUCAUGUUGUCCGUUUGUUUCAGCGCCACAAUCUUUGUUCGUUCCUACAGCAUCUAAAUCAGCACUGGGAGCGGUUCCAGAUGCACUUUCAGGUGAAGUCACAUCAGACGUUUUCGAGGAUGUUCUUGCACAUUGCUGGGGUAUCGAAACCCGUGAAACCGGGGCUACUGCCAUUACAACUUGAUCGAAGGGAUGGCAUUAGGUAGACAACAACCUCUCUUGAGCGCCGCCUUGAUGGCUUUGUGAAUGAAAUUCGAGUAGAUGUUGUUUCAUCCCGCGUAUGUCUAGAAUCUUGUUAGGAUUCGUCUAUUCCAGGUCAGGAAAGAGCUUCUGUAAACUAUCGUGAUAAGCAUAGCCUUCGCCCCGCAGAGUGUUAUAUCAAUGGUUCACCAGGCUCAAUUCAUUAAUGGCUUAGGGCCGGUCUUCAGUAAGUCAAUCACCAUCGGGUGGAGGGGAAAGCCCUACGUCAAGGUCAAUGGAUUCACCUACCCCAGUCUUAGAACUUUCUAGACUUUCUUACCUGUGUUCUUCUCAACUAAGAGAAGGGCGUGCAUCUACAGCAGUGGUAUUAUCUUCCUUUUUCUUUUUGCAUCUUUGAAUCCUGGUGUGUUGGUUAGUACCGAAGCCUCUUGGCUAGUACAGAGUUGUGGUUUGAUAUAGCUACUAGAGAACCUGGAGGCACUCUCUGAAAAUAAGUAUUCUUCAUAUGACAUGUGAAUAGACAACUCCUGGUAUGCUCAUUUCAUUCCUCUUGGACCUAGAUCUUCACUUUCAAAAGUGCAGAAUUGAUGUAUCAAAGGCAUUUCAAAGGAACAGAGGGUCCAUCUUUGAAGUGAGAGACAAUUGGUUUCAACUGUGUCGUAGGGGUUGUAUUCUUAGACCUGCCAGGCGGGAGGAACCACCGUCCUGGGUAUUGAGCAUGUGAAUCAUGUUAUUUUGUAGGAAUAGAGAUUCUCAGCCAUCAUAUCUUGUUCACCCUUGGCCAUGUCUCCUUCCGAGAAUGAGUUGGUUUGGGAAGAUCAUUAGGUUACUGAGAUCGAAGUAGUGAGGCUGCUUGAGUGCCAUCGAAACCCAUUUGAAAUUGCAAUGACAUAUUGAAGUAGUAGUUCGUUCAGCACUCGAUUAGGUAUCUGGAAAUAGUUCCUUAGCUCUUUUCUAGUUCGUUAAUGACCUCAGCGGUUGAAAUGGAAUUGGAUCCCGGCUUGUUAGUUAAUAGAAUCUAAAUGAGAUUGAAUGGAAAUGUUGGUAAACCGAGGGGUGCAUCAUACUUUUCAAUAGAUGUUGGGGUUCCUAAACCAUAAGGAUACUCUUUUCAUAGAACAAGGCCUGCCAAUCGAUCUCCUAGGCUAUAAUCCAAGGGAUAGAUUAACAUGCAUCUCCUAGAUGGAAGUGUGCGACAAUAACUUUGAGCUCCUGUAGUCUUUGAUCGUUGAUCUGAAGAGGUAGGCAGCUAUGAUAAAGAAGCCAAGGGAUGAAGUGAUUGUGGUUGGCGUGCCACAUGGAAACUAGAUAGGUGGAAGCUAUUUUAGACGACCUUGCGGGUCAUCCUAACAUUGAAAUGAAGCUAUUCGAGCAGACAGUGAAUAAAGCUAUGAAUGGGGGUAGCUUUACGAGGCAUAAUGCCGGUGUGCACUUUUCUUUUCUCAAACUGUGGUUGAUCCUCUCUAAAUCUGAGGUCAACAUUUCUUUGCAAUGAACGUUUAUUAGGUAUGGAAAACCUUGUUAGGUGCAUUCGUAGGUGAGCUCAAAGCGAGGAUUCAUGCGUUCUUUCUUCUCAAGAAGACGGAAUGAUUGCUCGUUAUGAUAUAGAUUCUUAGCCAGGGGUUUGGUAGCUUAUGCCCCCUAGUUUGCAACGUAGAGCAGAAAUGGUUGAAACGGCUCCCAUUGUGUGUGCGAAUUCUUUCAAAUGCGCAUGGCCUCUCAUAUCUUGAAUCGCUCAUCGGAUUGUUCGGGAGCUAUUGACUUGGUCAUCAUUUGAUUCCACUUCCCCGCCUUUAGUUGGAAGGUUCCAUUUGUCAUAAAUUACUUGUCAAAGAUGGGAUAUCUUGGCUGCCGUGAAUGAUACUGAGCUACCGGAUCUCGGGACCAUGGUGAAUUACCUACCAUGCAAUGGGGUCUGCUUUGUAAAACAAGUAAAGUGCACGAAGACGUGUCAAAGGGAAGGAAUAGAACUUGUUUGGCUGUUCGACCCGCGUCGGUUGUUGAUAUUGGAUGAGAUAGCUCGAGAAGGGAACAAAGAAUUCCAACUGGCUGUGGCGAGCGCUCUCCUACUGUUAGUGGCUUAGCUUCGGGGCUCGACUCCUCGAUGGAAUAAAGAUAGAGCUAUUAACCCAUACGCCCUCUUGUUUAAGGUUUCAUAGUUUAGGCAACUACAAUUCUUGUUUGUAUUAGAAUGCAUAGUUGUUUGAAACUAAAGGAAAGGAAUGCUGAUUCGAAUAGGGAUAGGUGAUAUCUUUGAUAGGUCCCCAGUUGUUAGAAUGAGGGAAAACCUAGUGUUAGAUUAAGGAUUCCCCUGAUCAAAAGCGGAUUUCGUUGAGAAGAUGUCAUGGUUGUUGGGGAUCCAAAGUAGUUUCUCUUUCUCACCAGCAAAGCAUAGAAUAUGGAACAAAGAAAUGGUGUAUAAUACCCGUAUUCCAAUAAUAAAUCACUUAAUCUGCUGCCCAUGUUGAAAAACCUCUUACUUGUACGAGCUAUGGUACUGGCGUACCUCUCAAGUUGUGCCCCGAGGCCAGUUCAUCAUCUUGAUCUUUUGGUUAGUACGAACGAUGAAGCAGCAGAUACCGGGGUUCUUGCUUGCCUUUUUUCUGACUGCGACUUGCCUAGGUAUCCACCUUAGGCGCCGCUCUCUUGUUUCACUCACAAUUCCGUAGUUGACCGAGCAAUUUCGUCAUUUCCAAAAGUGCACUUCGUUUUUCACUGGCUCGGGCGUACCCCGACCGAAGGGAGUGAAAUCGGUGCCUUUUCUUUCCCAUGCAAAUUCAUAUGGCACUUCCCACAAGCGAGGGGUGAGCAGGAGAAGGAAAGAUUUAUGAAUACCUAUUGCUUCGAGACUCCACUCACCAUGUCAGUAAACCUUAUAACAGUUAUGGCAGGCAGGAGGUGAUAAGAAAGUAAUUGUAAACAGCCAUCCAAUUGAUAAUAUUUCCUACGGAAAGAUUUGGGCUUGCAUACGUUUUCGAGUAACCCAGAAUGAAUGCAUUCUUCUUUACUACCAUUAUAACCAUUGGUAAGCCGAUCUAUCAUCAAGGGUCCCUAUCGCCAAUUCUCGCCAUCAGAAAUAGGCCUUAGAAUCGCAUCCCUUUUUCUCUUAGUAGAAGUCCCAUAUCUGUCUCAUCGAUCUGGAUAUAACGCAUUGCUCGAGCAAAACAUCUUCCUUUUGCGGAAGGAUCGGCAGGUAUGAGGGACACAUAUUUGAAGCCCUCGGACACAGGCUCAUUAGGAAAGAAUUGACACUUUUGGCCUUCGUCGUCAGGCCUAGGCCUUAGGUUUACCUUGCUCUAGCGCAGUCAUAUCCAAAUUCAAGAUCAAUCGGAGAAGCUGGCCCUUCGCCUCGAGGAAAUCCCUCUGGAGAUUCAACAUACCCGGAACUGGCAGAUACUAAAGACUAAAGUCAAUGGCAUUCGGUUGGAUAAUCUACUUCGACUUCGCUAUGAGGCUUUUAUUCUGAGUAUAGAAACGGCAUCGGCAUAGGAAAUCGUACAUCAACACCUCAAACGGAGGUUAUAGAAGAGCUACCCACUGGCAUACUCCCUUUUCGCCAAGGAUUUCAGCUUGCACAGAGCUAGAGGAGAGAAACGUCCAACGCUGGCAAGUCAUCACUUUCGUCUUCUUUAGUGCACUCUAGCCCAAAGACUUCUGCUUAUCCAUAUUCAUGGAAUUGUUCUUCGCGGAGUUCAGAAAUAUCAGGAUACUGAGGGCUUCUUUCUCACGCCUAGCAAAGAUCGAGUUCUGUUCUCACUUCACUUAAUGAGCCUAUUUCUCUGUUUUUAUACCCGUUUAGAUAGAUGGGCUCUAAGGGAGAAGUGGCGCACUUUCUCGAGCUAUCUAAGCAUCCAGGGAAGUGAUUCCACAAGCUAGAGAGAUUAUCCUCUUUUCUUUUUCAGAGUUGAGCUCAGGCUAAAGCCAAGCAUGGAUCAAUGUUUGUCAAAUCAUUCUCUGUUGAGUUGAGUCCUCGCCGAAGGUGUCGUGUCGUAUAGUAGUUCUCCGGUUAUAGGUGAUAGGUGCAUGGCUUCCGCUCAUAAAGAAUGAGUGAGACCAGCGCUCAAUCAAUCAGCCACCAAUAGAGGAUAAAGGAAAAAGGGGUUCAUCAAUGAGAGGCGCAUGAGAUUCUGUAUUGGCCAACUCUUUCUAACUAUCAUUAGGACGGAUACUUCGAUUCUCUAUGGACGAUUUCCUUCUCUCUCGUUCAAUGCCCUUUGGUCUCGAGGAUCACCAUUGGUGGGGUUGGGGUCACACCCGAAGUCGUAUUGGAGAAUUGAGCGGAACUACUUCCAUGUGCACUCUUUUAUCGGGUUAGGAAGCCCUGUUUUUGAAGCAGGAAGACCUCUUCGUCAUCAUUAUUGGGGUAUGGGCCCUAAAUCAUUGGAAAAGACGAUUUUCUUUAGGGAAUUUACACGAUAUCGCCUCCUUCUGUACUAACAAGGGAAUGGAUGAGUUCACUUAAGAAGCAGGCCUGGCCGGUACUAAAACAGAGAAGUCAGCUCAGGUUUCAUCUCAUCUAAGCAGCAGCCAAGCGAUGAUUCUGGAAUCGUGCCAUGCUUGACAGUUGGACUUCUCGCCAUACAUAGAAAUGAACUGCUGAUGAGCUAGCUAUCCCCGAUAUGAUCUGGUACUAGACUUCACACAUGUUGCCAUUGUAUAAUCGGAGAAUCAAUGCUGAUGUCUACCUUCCGAAAGCUAAAUAGAUGAUUUUCGAUACUAGGAUGACUACUCCCGAGGCCUGUUUUAACUAAAGAAUUUACAGGUGGCCCGGUCGGUAAACUAUUCCCGAGAGAGAAGCAGAAACAUCAAUCUGUAUUUUCGUAUCAUAUUCCAGCAGCUCCAAUGCCUUAGAGCGGGAUCUUAUCUUCCUAGAAAGAAAUGAGUGUUGCACACGGAUAGCCAGCUACUCCUUAUGAAUGGGAUGCAUGCAUAUUUCAAUUCAUGAAUUGAAGCUCGUAGAAAUCCUUCCUAUCCGCCUAGUUACCUAUCCGGACUUGUUUCGUAGAAAUCCUACCUUGCUUUUAGGCGGAGAAAGACUAUUUUUUAGUUUCUUCGGUGCAAAAGUGCCGUAGGCAAGUCCGUUUCAUAUAGCUGCAAAAGUUAGCAAGUCCUUUUUCCCUAAGGAAACUCGAUUUCCAAUGAAAAAAGUGCGGAUCACUAUGGGUCAAAAGUAGUGUUUUUCUAGUUUACCUCAAAAAUGCAUGUUUUGAGAGCAAUAUUUUUCGAUUAAGUCCUAAUCACUUAGCUGUAAAAGUAGGCUUUUUUCAUCUCCCAAAACCCAGGCCCUCUCCACAAAACUCCACACCAAGCCUUUAGAUACGCAAAUAUGAGCUUGCCUUGGCUUUAUUGCCCUUAUCGGAUGGAAGUUACGGAUGAGAAAUGACGUAUCUUACGUAUCGAAUCUCAAGUAACGGAUGAGAAUUGACGUAUUCAAAGUGGAAAGAACGAAUAUCGAUUCUCGUGGAUGAACGGAGGAAAUGGGAACUUGGUCUUUGCACUCUUGUUUCGGGGGGGGGGGGUUAUCCCAUGACAUGAAAAAGACCAAUCAAAAACUUCUGCAAGUUAAUCCCUACUAUCAAUGUCAUGCAGGAAACUGACACACCAAAUGAUGCCACAGAAGAGAUUGCAGUACAAGAAGAAGAAAUCCCACAGGAUCAGGACUCCCCUCCAAAUGAGUAUCUCAUGCAUAUUUCGGCUCAUGCAGUUUCAGGGCAGGUCACUGCUGGCACAUUUUCAGUCAAGGUCACUGUUGGUGGACAAACAGGCAUUGACCUUAUUGAUACCGGCAGUUCAAGUACAUUCAUUGAUUUGUAUUUAGCAGUUAGAACCACUUGCCAUAUCCAAAAGAAAAAAUCGGCUAAAAUAGCUGUGGCUGGGGGAGGCCAACUUACAUCUAGGGCAAUCAUAGCAGACACUGCAUUCUGCUUCUUGGUUUUCCAAAGGUCCGGAGGAGCGGAAGAGUUUCUAGUCGAGAAGGGUCGGGCAUUAGCAAAUCCUUCAAUCCCAACUCUUGAAAAGAAGAAACCAAUUUUUAGGCAUCUCCUCCCCUCGGGUAAUAUUAUCAUAUAGAAAGAAACGUUGCGAUUCCAUUGCAUCUUAGACAUUUAACUGAUGCGGGGCGGGGAAUCGAGUCUAUUCAGGAGUGCAUUUCCCUAGCAGACGAGGUGAUUGAUGCACGAUCUUGUCAAAUUGAUUGAUUUAGCUGGCGACGAAAAAGAGCACGAAAUGCAACUUGAAAACGCAUAUGUUAAGUACCUUCGUUGAUGAGAUGCUUAACAUGUCGAUUCAUUUCAUCUUGUUUAUGAAUCAGUACCAAAUCCCGAUCAAACUCUAAAUCAAUGUUUUGUUUUUCACUCUCAAAUUAUCAUAGAGAAAGAGUUGAUGUGAGAUGAGACUAUUCUCGAUCGAUAAAUGCGAUAGGAGCCUAUGUGUUUCACGGGCAGCCGGCCAAUAGGGGAAGGUUGUGAAUCCGGCGAACCGACCGCUUUAAGAACAUGAUUGUCUUCUCUCACUCAGUUAUCAAUUGACAAAGAUGACCCAUUCUUUUUUGCCCUAAAAACAACAAUGGUAUGGUACUUUUUCUUCAAAUCGAGAUUGUGUGGGUGUCCGCUCAUGUUCACGUUACAUGCUAAAUCAGGCUUUCCUUGGAAAAACCAAGGACAACCCCUAUCUCAGUCUCCUUUCUCUUUUCAGGAGCUCCAACCUCCGCGCCUAGCCGCAGCCUAAACGCUGGUUCUAUCCCGGCCAAGCAAGCAAGGGGAACCCCGGUGGGAAGAGGGAAAGAAAGAUCAGGGGAAGAAGCGGGGUAGAGGAAUUGGUCGACUCAUCAGGCUCAUGAUCUGAAGACAACAGGUUCGAAUCCUGUCCCCGCCUCUGCAUAAGUAUCCACCGACUUUCAUGGUUUUCAUGUGAUUAUAGGUACUCUUUUCUUGAUCGUAGAACCUUGCGACUGCAUGCCAAAAUGCCUUUCAUUUCUCUUAGAGGGUCUUUCUUUGUCCUACUUAUAGUAUCUUUCCUCCAGCCUAUCGAAACUCGUGUUUUUAUUAACCAACAACACAUGCACUUUGAUAGAACUAAAGAAAAGGUUAUUCAAUCCACUAGUGCAACUGAAGUGAAGGAAUUACCUAUUCUGAACCUCCACAAGAAAGAGCUCAUAACCACUGCUUGUGAACAGUUCUCCUCAACUGAAGGCGCACUACUGUUACUAUCAGUCUAGUCUCUCGAGGGCACUCUUUCGAUCUCGAACAAACUUACUUCUCCGGAAGAGAGAUAUUCAAAAAAACCCGAUUUCCAGUCCUGUCUUAAGAACGCGACUCCAAAGACCCCCCCCAAAAGAAAAGCCAAUACGCCAUGUAUCAAAACAAUAGGGAUAGGGGUAGUUGUAUACCACCUACGAAUAGGAAGAUCCUGGGUUUUGUAAGAAAACUACGAAUAGGAAGAUCCUGGGUUUUGUAAGAAAUCCAAUUUCAUCAAUUCUAAGCACGGUAACGGUAGUGCUCCUAUCCAACGGCCGGGGAUCUAUUCGAUUUCUCAAUUUGCUAAUGCCGAUAAGCUUAGGUUGUUAUUUCAUCGUCUUGCGCUAAAAAGGCACCCUCCUAUUAUGCUAACAAAGGGAUGGAUAACGGCAAAGCGGAACAGCAAUAGCGAAAGCAGGUACAGUAACGGCGCAAUCCCUAAAAAAGAAUCAAAAUAGAGAAAUUUAGAGCGUUGCGAAUUUCUUAUUUUGAUAAUGCUACCCACACAGUCACGACUCCUAUCCGGUCACCGGGUUAAACAAUUGAUUCCUCUCAACGCAUCCCCGCGGUAAAGAGCUAGUCGUAUUCUUUUGAUAAUUCUCUAGUUGUAUUCAAGCAAGAGUCCUCGGCAUCCUACGAAAACAAGCGCUAGGAAUAUCAAUAGCGUUAGCGUUAGCGUCCUGGCCUUUGCUUGGGGAUUCCUCUAUGGAAUUCCAAACAUGCCAUUGCUUUGCCUUUGCUCGUCCCUUUGAUUCAAUCCUUCUUCUCCUCGAAAGCUACAACUAGAAAAUAUAUUCUUCUUUGCCGGUGCGAACCCUUCUUUUGAAUAACAACCAUUGGCAAGACCAGCGAAAUCCGAAUACUAAUCCGAGGAAAGCCCAUCCCUACUUCCCUUUGCUAUUGUUCCUCGAAAUCCUCUACUAGUCAUUGGUUUCAAAGCAAAGGUAUCCGGUAUAGGGGGUCGUGGGCAGGUUAGUGUUUCAUUUCGAUAGGUGAUAGUGGUAUGCCCAAACCAUAUGGUAUAGGUCUUGGAAAGGAAAGUAAAUCAAGUCCAUCUUACAGGAUUUCUUCACUUGCUUGGGCUUAAGCGGUACCAGUACCUGGAGAAUAGUUCAAUUCUCUUUCUCCACAUGGCACCCUUGUGUUGUCAAACUAAUGAAGCCCUCUCCGCCCCUGCUCCGACAAAGCAAUAAGCACUAGGGUAUUCACCCACCCGCCAGUUCGAAUACCCGGUUUCCUCCCCUUCCGCUCAAGCUAAAGGUUCUGGGCUACGCCUUCCGGUUCCGUAUUCCGAUUCGUCUUCGGAUAGCAUUAGAAAAUCCCUUUCAUGCCUUGCCAAUACAACUAUUAUUUUUCUUAGCCGAGGAGCCUUUGGAAGUACCGUUGUUGGAUCGGAUUGAGCCAUUAUAGGAUCGGAUAAAGAUUCACUCUUUGCCAAUGCCUGCUUCCUUGGUUUCCUACUUUCUGCAUCGAAAGUGACUUUUUGCUCAGUAUCGAGAACCACUUCUUCUCCUUUUCGAGGCGUAGAUCGCCCCUCAUCUGAUUUGCUUCGUCAAAGCGGAUAGAAUUAUGGAAUUGAUUAUAUUCGUAGAAAAAGCACCCCCAUUUAAUAAGUCCUCGGAAAUGAUCUCAUCCAGUACUUCUCUCAGCCUAUUUGCCAAGACUUUGGAGCAUAGCUUGUAAAUGACAUUGCACAAAGAUAUCGGCCUAUACUGUGAUAUUUCUUGGGGGUUCUACUGUCAGCAAGUGCACUAUUAUUUACUUCACCGCGUACUUAAAGAAUUGUUGGUAGCAAAGAACAGCACCUGAUAGAAAGGAUGCUAACCAAGCCUCUUCUGUUUAAGCAAGGCUAAGCCAGAAUAAGGGGUACAGUAGGCUGGUGACCCUGACGAUAGCACUAAGACUGCCUCGGGAAUCUCCUCAAUCGUUGAAGAGUGCCUCAGGAAUUGAAUAAAAGCACUGAUAUCCAUAUAAUCCUACAAUUAUGCUCUAUUCUCUUGAAGAGAAGACACCUGAACUUCGUCAUGUGCUAUUGAUCCUUUUGAACCUAAAUUCACAUUGGCUCUUUUUGGCAUACAACUUUUGUUUUUCUGUGAAAGUCCUCCUUCCUCUGGACAAAGAUUACAUUAGAGGUGCCUCGACCCGAAAGAGCAUGAUACAAUCAAUUAGGACGUAGCUCUGCUACAAGAAAGGAUAGGACUUUUGCCAGGUCUAGAGUUCGACUUCUAAAAAGAGAAUUCUAUAACAAAAAGAAAGAAAAGAGGAGGAAGCUGGACUUACCUCUGUUCGAGAUACAAUGAAUCGAAUAAAUAAGUCUUAUGGAUGAAUGUUGAAGACGGACGAUACAACCCUACUAAAAGUCACAAAGCUCACUUCGCUAUCAGGCCUAGCAGCUGCUUCAUAAUAUAGGUGAGAUAGAUUAAUUGCUUCCUAAUAUAGGUGAGAUAGAUUAAUUGAUUUUUUCUUUUUUUUGUUAUAGAAUUCUAAAUCGAGCAUUAGUUUGAACGACAUAGAAAACUCUUUUCCAACUAAGCACUCUUGAGCAUCAAGCAAUUAUAUGGCUUGGAUUCGGAAUGGUCACAGCCCUUUCAUGGCUGGAUAUGCACACCUACAGUUCAUUAAUGGAAAUUCACUUUUCUUAGCGCCCUAGUGUUUCAAAGCACAGGAGAUAUCUGUGGAACUGUUGUUUUUCUUAGGGCAAGCUAGCAGAUAGAAGUAAUCUAUCUGGUUAGCCAGGCGAAGCAUUUAGGGUUCAGUGCCUGGUUUCAAGUGUUCUUCUUCAUAGUUUGGCACUUCACUUUUUGUUGAGUAAUCCAAUGGCCUAAUGACACAUGCACAUCUUUUGGUGCUGUCGCGUUACUUAGUGACUAGCUCAAGUGCAUUUGAUCGCAAAAAAGACUGGCAUUGGCUCCGGUCAAAUCUACAGGGGGCAUGCAAAUCAAAUGUGAAAGAAAGGAAAACAUUUCUGUUUCUUCUGCUCCAAUGUCGUGAUACACUCAGGAUGUUUACGAUACCUACCCAUUAAUUGCUCUAACUUCUCGUGGUUCACCCCUAGCUAUGCCCGCUUCUAUGAAAUUCCAAAUUAUGCUUGCAAGCUCAUUGGAGCUAGGCAACUCUUUAUCAGUGAUUUCAUGCCUACCAAGCAGGUACGCUCUAAUGUAUACACCCUUUAAGAAAAGAAAUCCUUCUCGUAUUCUGCUGCUUUUUUGAUUCAUUUUAUCCCAAUAAUAGCAUAGACAUCAUAUAUUUAUUCUUGCAAGCUCAAGUGCUUGAUUGUUGACAAAUUCUUCUCUCAGCAGGGCACCUCAGGUAUCUAUCUAUAGUUUCCUGUCUUGAAGGGGGGCGACGCAGCUAUUUUCUUUAACAGCACGUCAUUUAACGAGGUGUUUUCGUUAUUUGGUCAUCACUAAAAAGUUUAUAGUGAUAAAGUGAGCCUAUUAUAUUAAGUUUAGAGGAUUCUCCUAACGUGAUGAGUUUAGUUUCUCACUUUUAAAGAUCACUGGUGGCAAUGGUACUUCCUUUUAUGCAACAACUCCUGUAUGUACCAUUUGGUAAUUGGAGUUUGAUAAGACCAUGGAUCCUUAUAUACAAAACAUACUUGGCCAACUAAGGCCCUGCAGUCCAAUGUACGAUAUAUUAUCGUCAGCUGGGGAGGUGUUUGGCAAGGGUGUGACCGUUGUUUUUGGGACAAUGUUCAAGCAGGAGGCCAUGAAUCUGUCUAGUCUCGCCAUGGGGGGUGAGUUUAUCUCAUUGCUCCUUCCUGGUGUAAAGCCGAUCACUGAGGUUUAUGUUUAUCAAACCGAGCUCUUGAACCCAAUGUUUGGAACAUCAACGUCCCUCUCCAGUCGUAAUCAGGAUUUGAUCUAUCAUGAAGUUUUAGCUCCACAUAAGAUCCACGGCAUGUUAUCUGUCGGUGCAGCGGCUUUGAGUUGUCGGAAAAAAAGCCAGGAGCUUAAGUUAUUCCUCAGUUUAGUAUAGGGUGUCGAGGGAGAGCUGCUGAAGGGAAGGUGGACGAACCCACACGAGUGAAAACCCUACUUUAUUAGUCAUCAAUGCAAUUUCUCGCACUUUUUGAUACCUCCGAGGGGGUACACUUUAAAGGCAUGCAAAACGUGCCUUACAAUCAUGUUGGAUGAGGCUAGGCGGUGAAUGCAAUGCUGGGAAGUUUUGUCCCGGUUCGAGAGGUUGAGCGAGCCAACCAAUUCGAUGUUUUGAAUGGCCAAAGAAGAGGUGUUUACUCCUCUUACCAAUUGAGGUUUCGCACAACUUUUUGACUAGGGUUUCAGAAAGGUUGUAGUUUCACGAGGAGCCCAAAAGCGACUUGUUUUACCUAUGGGAUGUGAAGAUUGGCUCUGUACCUGACACGGAUUGAUUUAAGAAUAGUGAUGAAAGAAAUCAAUUUAUGAGAGACCAUAUUUCUGUUGUUUCGGUACAACUCAAGAUCAGUUAAGGAAAUAGGGAAUAACAAUAGUGAAAAGAAUAGAAAUAGCAUGACCCUUGCUUGGGACUUCUUUCUUCUAUCUCUAUAGAGAUGACCAGGAAGCAAAUGAGAAAUGGACUUCUUUUUUACUACGGUGAAACUAUGAUCAAACUCUCGAAUCUUACGUCCGUGUGAAAGACCGUCCUAGCCGUGAGUACAAAUGUGUCGAGGCGUUCUAAGUGCCGUAGACGAAUGCUUCUUGGCAGAAUAAAUGGUAUGACACGACCUCUUUUUGCUCCAUAAACGAAUUUGAAAAAGGAAGAAGGCUUUAGCUCCCUUCCAUUGUCUUGGGUCGAAGAUCAAGCGUGAACUUCUCCCUCAUCUAAGGUUGGGUUGUGGAUAACAGACUUCCCCUUGGGCCGGAUCUUCCCAAGUAUAACACGAUCCAUGAGCGAUAUCAAUGCAGUGACAGUCCUUACUAUUGAGUCAUGUGCUGGUAAGAUGACAAUGCUCUAAAAGGUUUGUUUAAGAAAGCAAUCAUAUCCCGUCCCCAAGUGCGGUAUGGACCCCAAAGAGUUAUAUAAGUAGGAAAAUGGGAAGAACUGAGGCACCUACAGAAGUAAUGGGUCAGCUUAUGAUUUUAGGCAUGGUUACUGGAGGGACCGUCCCUACCUAUCCGUGCAAGAUCGGAUCAGUAUGGUUUUGAGAGGAAGGCUGGUGGCAUACGAAGAGAGGGCGACAGAACAUCUGCAUUCCCUUUCUUUGAUUGAGAGAAGGAUAAAGCAGAAAAAAAGACUUGACUGAAAUUCCAUUCGCUUUUUUUCCUUCCUGAGAUAUGGAAUGUCAUUAAAUUAAGUAGAUGAGAUGCCAAAUAUAGGCAUGAGUUAUUUCGCCAAGCAAAGCUUUGUGUUCUGAAGGUAAAGAAAGACGGUAAAGCCCAUUAAAAAGAGUGCCACGCAGAAGCACCUCCUGUGUCACUCGAUCCAAACCCGACACAUCUUUCUUUCUAUACGAAAUGAGUUCGACCUUUUUUUCUAAAUAGAAACAGAAAAGAAAUUUAGGAAUAGUGCGGAUGCGACGGAACGAAUCAAGUGAAACGAGUCCCCCUUAUGACAUUUUUUCAUCCAAGCAAGGGCGCGUUGCAUGGGAUUCAUCAACAAAGGGAUAGGGAUAAGGGGCCGCACGUCCAAGACAGCCUUUCAUCUCAGUGCGCCAUGGAACCCCCAUCUUCCAAUUCCUCUUACAGAGAUCGUUGACUCACUUGCCUUAUUUUGAGGAUACUUCCAAGCCAAAACAAGACAAUGGGCAGUCACCAGAUCUUCUUUAUGGAGGUGGGACCGGGGACCUCCACAGCAAGAUCGUUGUACAGAAUGCUUGAGCACAAUGGCCACACACACUUCUCCCUGACCUCCAAAAGCUCCCUAUGACCCUUUGUACGGAGCAUUCAAAGUUCCUCGCGCCGUCAAGCAAGACUUUGAUCUCGAUUUGGGAGAGCAAACAUAGCUUCGCCAUCCCGCAAAGUAUCUUUAUUGAAUUUUGACCCUAUCUAGCGCUUAAAAAUCUUUCUUCUUUCUCCGUCACUAGAUUCCGAUUAAAACGCUUGGUCCACCCAUGCUUUUCCUCUCCAUUUUUCAUAUGGAAAGGGAAAGCAGUGCCAACUUAUUGGAAUUCUGCAUGGCAUAUUUCCCAACCUUCAUUCCUGCUAUUCCAGGCUCUAGUGAUUAGUCAUAAACCUAUUGCCCGCUCCGCUUUCCCAUUCCUAUUGCUUUCGGUAUCUGAAUCUUCUUGAAUUCAAGUAGAGAAUACCAGGGCUUUCUUCUUCUUUGAUUUUCCUUGGGGCAGAGGAUAAAAAAAAUGGAUUUCCGACAUAGCACCUGCGGCAUUAGGAUUCUAAGAUUUAGGAGGGGAAGGCUGAGGAGAGGGAUCACAUGCAUUGAAGCAAUCUCAAGAUUCAGAAACGAUCAAAAUAAUGGUACGGGGAGAAGAAAGAGAGGAGAGUCACGAAAAUAGGGUAAACGCAAAGAGACGAUGAAAAGCAAUCAGAGAGGAGAGGGAAGAAUGACAGUGGAAAUCAUAAAGCUCAGUGAGGAGCACAUUACUGUGAAUAAUAAUGGAGAGCGACAUUAAAGGGGAAAACUGAGCAAAGAGAUAUAUAAAUAUAUUAGACACUUCUACUUCGUUUUCUUGUUUAGAUUCAUUACUUCAGUGAUUGAACAUGGACAGAUACCUAUAAGGACCCCAUUUCAUUGACCUUCGCCCUUUUAUAUCCCUCGUUAAGAUAUGUUAUCCGGACCAAUUCCCACGUAGAAAACCAAGAGCAGUGAGUUACAAAACCAAGAGCAGUUAGAAUCGCGUAGCUGCGUGCCCCUUUUUCUGACUAGCUUCUUGUGAAAAGCAUUUCAGGCACGAGCACACCCGAUGAACUCAGAAACCUACUAUGGAAUCAAUCAACCCAUCGCACCCGAGUGCUCUGCUUGUUGGGAAACUUCGCAUGGGAAACAAAAAAUUUCCAACGCGCACGAAGACCUAUCAUGGUGAUGUCCUUCUACGAGAGGGGAUGAGUGAUCUACGUACCCUUGUUGAUCGUACAGCAGAAGCGUUAGUGAACGCGGUUGAUGUAGUGGAACGUCCUCACGUCCCUCGAUCCGCCCCGCGAAUAAUCCCGCGAUCAGUCCCACGAUCUAGUACCGAACGGACGGCACCUCCGCGUUCAGCACACGUACAACUCGACGAUGAUCUCGGCCUUCUUGAUCCAGCAAGAGAGACGGAGAGGUAGAAGAGUUUCUUCGGCAGCGUGACGGCGCUCUGGAGGUUGGUGAUGACCUUGUCUCAGCAGGGCUCCGCCCGAGCUCCGCAGAAACGCGAUCUAGAGGAAAAACCGUGGAGGUAUGUGGUCGGGCUGCCGUGGAAAAGUCGUCUCAAAUCAGCCCCAAUACCUCCGUAUAUAUAGGUGGGAGGGAGGGGACCUUGCCUUGGGGCUCAAGGAGCCCCAAGGGGGUCGGCCGAGUCCAAGGGGGGAAGGCUCCCCCCCCCCAAACCGAGUUGGACUUGGUUUGGUGGGUGGGAGUCCUUCCCUUCCUUCCCACCUCCCUUUUUUUUUCUUUCUCUUUGAUUUUUAUCUCUAUGGCGCAUAGGGGCCUUUUGGGCUGUCCCACCAGCCCACUAAGGGCUGGUGCGCCACCCUUAUGGCCUAUGGGCUUCCCCGGGGUGGGUUGCCCCCCCGGUGAACUCACGGAACCCAUUCGUCAUUCCCGGUACAUUCCCGGUAACUCCGAAAACCUUCCGGUAAUCAAAUGAGAUCAUCCUAUAUAUCAAUCUUCGUUUCCGGACUAUUCCGGAAACCCUCGUGACGUCUGUGAUCUCAUCCGGGACUCCGAACAACAUUCGGUAACCAACCAUAUAACUCAAAUACGCAUAAAACAACGUCGAACCUUAAGUGUGCAGA
rnacentral:lncRNA from 1 species